rnacentral:rRNA from 1 species
CUGAGCGGCGGACGGGUGAGUAACGCGUGGGUAACCUACCUCAUACAGGGGGAUAACAGUUGGAAACGGCUGCUAAUACCGCAUAAGCGCACAGUACCGCAUGGUACCGUGUGAAAAACUCCGGUGGUAUGAGAUGGACCCGCGUCUGAUUAGCUAGUUGGUGGGGUAACGGCCUACCAAGGCGACGAUCAGUAGCCGACCUGAGAGGGUGACCGGCCACAUUGGGACUGAGACACGGCCCAA